rnacentral:misc_RNA from 1 species
AACCAUUCUCACCUGCGGCUAGACCUGCGGAAGGAUCAUUACUGAGUGUAAAAACUCCCAAACCCAUUGUGAACAUACCACUGUUGCUUCGGCGGAUACGCCCCGGGCGCGCUCUUCACAGGGCGUGCCCCGGAACCAGGCGCCCGCCGGGGGACCGAAACUCUUGUUUUCUUAGGAUCUCUGAGUGUGAUUAUUAAAUAAAUCAAAACUUUUAACAACGGAUCUCAGAUCGGAAGAGCA